rnacentral:rRNA from 1 species
CCAGUAAUUUGAGUGAAAGUUUAAAAGAAUCCCAGAAAAAUCGUGAAUAAGACCAGGAAAGAUCGGGUAAUAUCAUGUGUACGAUCAUCAACAGUAUAAAAGACAUAAA